rnacentral:ncRNA from 2 species
UUUUUAUACAGAGGCGUGGAGAGACAGGCUCGACGAAACGCCGGCAACCCCCCAGCUACCCGCUGGAACGGUGCCAAAUCCUGACUAUAUAAAAA